CAAACAAAAAGACAGAUUUAAACAAAUGACGAAUACAAAAAAGAAAAGAAAUCCCGCUCUCUCAAUUCUUCUCUCCAUCUUUUUUUUCUUUUUCUUGCAUUCUUACUCUUUCUUCU
rnacentral:ribozyme from 13 species